UACGGGGGGGGGCAAGCGUUGUUCGGAAUUACUGGGCGUAAAGGGCGCGUAGGCGCCUGCUAAGUCGAACGUGAAAUCCCCGAGCUCAACUCGGGAACUGCGUCCGAUACUGACAGGCUUGAAUCCGGGAGAGGGAUGCGGAAUUCCGGGUGUAGCGGUGGAAUGCGUAGAGAUCCGGAAGAACACCGGUGGCGAAGGCGAUUAGCUGGGCAGUUGCUGACACUGAGGCGCGACAGCGUGGGGAGCAAACAGG
rnacentral:rRNA from 1 species